AAGGAAUAUUGGACAAUGGGCGGAAGCCUGAUCCAGCCAUGCCGCGUGAAGGAAGGAGGCGCUCAGCGUUGUAAACUUCUUUUAAACGGGAACAAUAACUCCGACGCGCUCGGGGCUUGAGGGUACCAUUAGAAUAAGCACGGGCUAACUCCGUGCCAGCAGCCGCGGUAAUACGGAGGGUGCAAGCGUUAUCCGGAAUCACUGGGUUUAAAGGGUGCGUAGGCUGUUUGAUAAGUCAGUUGUGAAAUACCCCGGCUUAACCGGCGGUCGUGCGAUUGAUACUGUCAGACUUGAAUCAGGUUGAGGUAGGCGGAAUGUGGCAUGUGGCGGUGAAAUGCAUAGAUAUGCCAUAGAACACCGAUUGCGAAGGCAGCUUACUAAAGUAUGAUUGACGCUGAGGCACGAAAGCGUGGGGAUCAAAC
rnacentral:rRNA from 1 species